rnacentral:rRNA from 1 species
CCCUUAGAGUUUGAUCCUGGCUCAGAUUGAACGCUGGCGGCAUGCUUUACACAUGCAAGUCGAACGGCAGCACGGGGGCAACCCUGGUGGCGAGUGGCGAACGGGUGAGGAAUGCACCGGAACGUAUCUUCAAGUGGGGGAUAACGCAUCGAAAGGUGUGCUAAUACCGCAUAAUCUCUGAGGAGAAAAGCAGGGGAUCGCAAGACCUUGCGCUUUUGGAGCGGCCGAUGCCUGAUUAGCUUGUUGGUGAGGUAAAAGCUCACCAAGGUUACGAUCAGCAGCUGGUCUGAGAGGAUGAUCAGCCACACUGGGACUGAGACACGGCCCAGACUCCUACAGGAGGCAGCAGUGGGGAAUAUUGGACAAUGGGGGCAACCCUGAUCCAGCCAUGCCGCGUGUGUGAAGAAGGCCUUCGGGCUGUAAAGCACUUUCAGUGAGGAGGAAAGGUUGACGUUUAAUACGCGUCAGCUGUGACGUUACUCGCAGAAGAAGGACCGGCUAACUCCGUGCCAGCAGCCGCGGUAAUACGGAGGGUCCGAGCGUUAAUCGGAAUUACUGGGCGUAAAGCGCGCGUAGGCGGUUAGAUCAGUCAGAUGUGAAAGCCCUGGGCUCAACCUGGGAACUGCAUCUGAUACUGAAUAGCUAGAGUAUGGUAGAGGAGUGUGGAAUUUCAGGUGUAGCGGUGAAAUGCGUAGAGAUCUGAAGGAACAUCAGUGGCGAAGGCGACACCCUGGACAAAUACUGACGCUGAGGUGCGAAAGCGUGGGGAGCAAACGGGAUUAGAUACCCUGGUAGUCCACGCCGUAAACGAUGUCUACUAGCCGUUGGGGAGCUUGCCUCCUUAGUGGCGCAGCUAACGCAAUAAGUAGACCGCCUGGGGAGUACGGUCGCAAGAUUAAAACUCAAAUGAAUUGACGGGGGCCCGCACAAGCGGUGGAGCAUGUGGUUUAAUUCGACGCAACGCGAAGAACCUUACCAGGUCUUGACAUCCUCAGAACUUUCCAGAGAUGGAUUGGUGCCUUCGGGAACUGAGUGACAGGUGCUGCAUGGCUGUCGUCAGCUCGUGUCGUGAGAUGUUGGGUUAAGUCCCGUAACGAGCGCAACCCUUGUCCUUAGUUGCCAGCGCGUAAUGGCGGGAACUCUAAGGAGACUGCCGGUGACAAACCGGAGGAAGGUGGGAACGACGUCAAGUCAUCAUGGCCCUUACGACCUGGGCUACACACGUGCUACAAUGGCCGGUACAGAGGGCUGCAACCCCGCGAGGGUGAGCUAAUCCCACAAAACCGGUCGUAGUCCGGAUUGGAGUCUGCAACUCGACUCCAUGAAGUCGGAAUCGCUAGUAAUCGUGAAUCAGAAUGUCACGGUGAAUACGUUCCCGGGCCUUGUACACACCGCCCGUCACAUCAUGGGAGUGGGCUGCAAAAGAAGUGGCUAGUCUAACCUUCGGGGGGACGGUCACCACUUUGUGAUUCAUGACUGGGGUGA